rnacentral:rRNA from 1 species
UACAGAGGUCUCAAGCGUUGUUCGGAUUCAUUGGGCGUAAAGGGUGCGUAGGCGGCGCGGUAAGUCGGGUGUGAAAUCUCGGAGCUUAACUCCGAAACUGCAUUCGAUACUGCCGUGCUUGAGGACUGGAGAGGAGACUGGAAUUUACGGUGUAGCGGUGAAAUGCGUAGAUAAUCGUAAGGAAGACCAGUGGCGAAGGCGGGUCUCUGGACAGUUCCUGACGCUGAGGCACGAAGGCCAGGGGAGCAAACAGG